rnacentral:rRNA from 1 species
CAGCAGCCGCGGUAAUACGUAGGAGACAAACGUUGUCCGGAGUUACUGGGCGUAAAGGGCGUGCAGGUGGUCUGUUAAGUCUGGCGUGAAAGCUCUCGGCUAAACCGGGAGAGGUCGUUGGAUACUGACGGACUAGAGGACGGUAGAGGCGAGUGGAAUUCCGGGUGUAGUGGUGAAAUGCGUAGAGAUCCGGAGGAACACCAGUGGCGAAGGCGACUCGCUGGGCCGUACCUGACACUCAAACGCGACUGCGUGGGGAGCGAACGGGAUUAGAAACCCCGGUAGUCCAUGCCGUAAACGAUGCCAGCUAGAUGUUCAGGUUCCGCAGGGCAUCGGGGUAUCCAAGCCAACGCGGUAAGCUGGCCGCCUGGUGAGUACGGUCGCAUGGCUA